AGAGUUUGAUUCUGGCUCAGAAUGAACGCUGGCGGCGUGCCUAACACAUGCAAGUCGAACGAGAAAGCCCGAAAGGGUUAGUAAAGUGGCGGACGGGUGAGUAACAUAUAGGAAUCUGCCCUGUUGUGAGGAAUACCUCAGAGAAAUCUGGGCUAAUACUGCAUAAGCCGAGAAAUCGGGAAAGACGGCCUCGUGCUGUCGCAAUGGGAUGAGCCUAUAUACUAUUAGCUAGUUGGUGGGGUAAAGGCUUACCAAGGCAAAGAUGGUUAACCGGCCUGAGAGGGUGUACGGUCACAAUGGAACUGAGACACGGUCCAUACUCCUACGGGAGGCAGCAGUGGGGAAUAUUGCACAAUGGGCGCAAGCCUGAUGCAGCGACGCCGCGUGAGGGAAGAAGGUCUUCGGAUUGUAAACCUCUGUUAAGUGGGAAGAAAUAAGACUCGUUAAUAGCGAGUUAAGAUGACGGUACCACUAGAGAAAGCACCGGCAAACUUCGUGCCAGCAGCCGCGGUAAUACGAAGGGUGCGAGCGUUAUUCGGAGUUACUGGGCGUAAAGAGCGUUUAGGUGGUUGAUUAAGUUAGUUGUUAAAGAUCACGGCUUAACUGUGAAAAGGCAGCUAAUACUGGUCGGCUAGAGUACAGAAGAGAGGAGUGGAAUUCCCGGAGUAGCGGUAAAAUGCGUAGAUCUCGGGAGGAACACCGAUGGCGAAGGCAGCUCCUUGGUCUGUUACUGACACUGUAGCGCGAAAGCGUGGGUAGCAAACAGGAUUAGAUACCCUGGUAGUCCACGCUGUAAACGAUGAUCACUAGAUGUAGGUCUGGUAUAACCGGAUCUGUGUCGAAGCUAACGCGAUAAGUGAUCCGCCUGAGUAGUACGGUCGCAAGAUUAAAACUCAAAGAAAUUGACGGGGGUCCGCACAAGCGGUGGAACAUGUGGUUUAAUUCGACACUACGCGAGGAACCUUACCUGGGUUUGACAUGUAACUGUUACUGGUGGAAACACUGGGUCUGCGUAGAAAUACGUAGCUGUUACACAGGUGCUGCAUGGCUGUCGUCAGUUCGUGUCGUGAGAUGUUGGGUUAAGUCCUUUAACGAGCGCAACCCCUAUCGUUAGUUGCUACCGAGCAAUCGGAGCACUCUAAUGAGACUGCCUGGGAAACCAGGAGGAAGGUGGGGAUGACGUCAAGUCCUCAUGGCCCUUAUGUCCAGGGCGACACACGUGUUACAAUGGCGAGUACAGAGGGGUGCAAUACCGCGAGGUGGAGCAAAUCCCAGAAAGCUCGCCCAAGUUGGGAUUGGAGUCUGCAUCUCGACUCCAUGAACCUGAAAUCGCUAGUAAUCGCAUAUCAGAAUGAUGCGGUGAAUACGUUCCCGGGCCUUGUACACACCGCCCGUCACACCACGAAAGCUGUCUACACCCGAAAUUAUCUUAGCUAACUGAAUAAGAGGCGGAUAAUGAAGGUGAGGAGAGUGAUUGGGGUUAAGUCGUAACAAGGUA
rnacentral:rRNA from 1 species